rnacentral:rRNA from 1 species
AACGCGAAGAACCUUACCAAGGUUUGACAUGCGCGGAAAUCCUCCAGAGAUGGGGGGUCCUUCGGGGUCGCGCACAGGUGGUGCAUGGCUGUCGUCAGCUCGUGUCGUGAGAUGUUGGGUUAAGUCCCGCAACGAGCGCAACCCUCGUCCCAUGUUGCCAGCGGGUUAUGCCGGGGACUCAUGGGAGACUGCCGGGGUCAACUCGGAGGAAGGUGGGGACGACGUCAAGUCAUCAUGCCCCUUAUGUCUUGGGCUGCAAACAUGCUACAAUGGCCGGUACAAAGGGCUGCGAACCCGCAAGGGUAAGCGAAUCCCGGAAAGCCGGUCUCAGUUCGGAUCGGGGUCUGCAACUCGGCCCCGUGAAGUCGGAGUCGCUAGUAAUCGCGAAUCAGCAACGUCGCGGUGAAUACGUUCCCGGGCCUUGUACACACCGACUGUAC